rnacentral:tRNA from 1 species
AAAGGCAUAGCCUAGUGGAUGAAGGUUAGGUGAAAGUAUAAAGAUUUCGGGUUCGAAUCCUGAUGACUUUU